AGAGCGAACGCUGGCGGCAGGCCUAACACAUGCAAGUCGAGCGCCCCGCAAGGGGAGCGGCAGACGGGAGAGUAACACGUGGGAACGUACCCUUUGGUUCGGAACAACACAGGGAAACUUGUGCUAAUACCGGAUAAGCCCUUACGGGGAAAGAUUUAUUGCCAAAGGAUCGGCCCGCGUCUGAUUAGCUUGUUGGUGAGGUAACGGCUCACCAAGGCUACGAUCAGUAGCUGGUCUGAGAGGAUGAUCAGCCUCACUGGGACUGAGACACGGCCCAGACUCCUACGGGAGGCAGCAGUGGGGAAUAUUGGACAAUGGGCGCAAGCCUGAUCCAGCAAUGCCGCGUGUGUGAAGAAGGUCUUCGGAUUGUAAAGCACUUUCGACGGGGACGAUGAUGACGGUACCGUAGAAGAAGCCCCGGCUAACUUCGUGCCAGCAGCCGC
rnacentral:rRNA from 1 species